UACGGAGGGGGCUAGCGUUGUUCGGAAUUACUGGGCGUAAAGCGCACGUAGGCGGCUUUGUAAGUUAGAGGUGAAAGCCCGGAGCUCAACUCCGGAAUUGCCUUUAAGACUGCAUCGCUAGAAUUGUGGAGAGGUGAGUGGAAUUCCGAGUGUAGAGGUGAAAUCGUUAGAUAUUGGAAGAAACACCAGUGGCGAAGGCGACUCACUGGACACAUAUUUG
rnacentral:rRNA from 1 species